AGCGAACGCUGGCGGCAGGCCUAACACAUGCAAGUCGAACGAAGUCUUCGGACUUAGUGGCGGACGGGUGAGUAACACGUGGGAACGUGCCUUUAGGUUCGGAAUAACUCAGGGAAACUUGUGCUAAUACCGAAUGUGCCCUUCGGGGGAAAGAUUUAUCGCCUUUAGAGCGGCCCGCGUCUGAUUAGCUAGUUGGUGAGGUAAAGGCUCACCAAGGCUACGAUCAGUAGCUGGUCUGAGAGAAUGACCAGCCACAUUGGGACUGAGACACGGCCCAAACUCCUACGGGAGGCAGCAGUGGGGAAUCUUGCGCAAUGGGCGAAAGCCUGACGCAGCCAUGCCGCGUGGAUGAUGAAGGUCUUAGGAUUGUAAAAUCCUUUCACCGGUGAAGAUAGUGACUGUAGCCGGAGAAGAAGCCCCGGCUAACUUCGUGCCAGCAGCCGCGGUAACAC
rnacentral:rRNA from 1 species